GAUGAACGCUGGCGGCGUGCCUAAUACAUGCAAGUCGAGCGAACAGAUGAGGAGCUUGCUCCUCUGACGUUAGCGGCGGACGGGUGAGUAACACGUGGAUAACCUACCUAUAAGACUGGGAUAACUUCGGGAAACCGGAGCUAAUACCGGAUAAUAUAUUGAACCGCAUGGUUCAAUAGUGAAAGACGGUUUUGCUGUCACUUAUAGAUGGAUCCGCGCCGCAUUAGCUAGUUGGUAGGGUAACGGCUUACCAAGGCAACGAUGCGUAGCCGACCUGAGAGGGGGAUCGGCCACACUGGAACUGAGACAGGGUCCAGACUCCUACGGGAGGCAGCAGUAGGGAAUCUGCCGCAAUGGGCGAAAGCCUGACGGAGCAACGCCGCGUGAGUGAUGAAGGUCUUCGGAUCGUAAAACUCUGUUAUGAGGGAAGAACAAAUGUGUAAGUAACUAUGCACGUCUUGACGGUACCUAAUCAGAAAGCCACGGCUAACUACGUG
rnacentral:rRNA from 1 species